rnacentral:rRNA from 1 species
UUGAUAAUACCAUAUUAUUAGGUUAGACUUGAAACUAAAAAUAUCAUCACCAUCAUCAUUACCAUAUUAUAAUAUCAAUCAAUAAUAUAAUUUUGGGAUGACGAUUAUGAAUCUAUGAGAAUGCUGCUGCUUCUUUUUUUUACCUAUCAUUCUUUGUUGUUGUGAUUUCAGUACAUGAUGAUGAUGAUGGAUGAUGGUAAAU